GACGAACGCUGGCGGCGUGCCUAAUACAUGCAAGUAGAACGCUGAAGAGAGGAGCUUGCUCUUCUUGGAUGAGUUGCGAACGGGUGAGUAACGCGUAGGUAACCUGCCUGGUAGCGGGGGAUAACUAUUGGAAACGAUAGCUAAUACCGCAUAAAAUGGAUUAUCGCAUGAUAAUCCAUUGAAAGGUGCAAAUGCAUCACUACCAGAUGGACCUGCGUUGUAUUAGCUAGUUGGUGGGGUAACGGCUCACCAAGGCGACGAUACAUAGCCGACCUGAGAGGGUGAUCGGCCACACUGGGACUGAGACACGGCCCAGACUCCUACGGGAGGCAGCAGUAGGGAAUCUUCGGCAAUGGACGGAAGUCUGACCGAGCAACGCCGCGUGAGUGAAGAAGGUUUUCGGAUCGUAAAGCUCUGUUGUAAGGGAAGAACGAGUGUGAGAGUGGAAAGUUCACACUGUGACGGUAUCUUACCAGAAAGGGACGGCUAACUACGU
rnacentral:rRNA from 1 species